CUAGCCAUAAACGAUGUCUACUAGGUCGGAGUCACUCUGACGUGUUUCCGGCCAAAACAAAAGCAUUAAGUAGACCGCCUGGGGAGUACGGUCGCAAGGCUAAAACUCAAAGGAAUUGACGGGGGCUCACACAAGCGGUGGAGCAUGUUGCUCAAUUCGAUGCAACGCGAAGAACCUUAUCCUAGGCUUGACAUGCUUGGAUGCCUACCAUGAAAGUGGAUCGGCUGCCCUUCGGGGUGAAACUUGCACAGGUGC
rnacentral:rRNA from 1 species